rnacentral:rRNA from 1 species
GUGAGGAAUUUUCCGCAAUGGGCGAAAGCCUGACGGAGCAAUGCCGCGUGAAGGAUGAAGGCCUAUGGGUUGUAAACUUCUUUUCUCAGAAAAGAAUUAUGACGGUAUCUGAGGAAUAAGCAUCGGCUAACUCUGUGCCAGCAGCCGCGGUAAGACAGAGGAUGCAAGCGUUAUCCGGAAUGAUUGGGCGUAAAGCGUCUGUAGGUUGUUUAAAAAGUAUUCUGUCAAAGAUUAGGGCUUAACCCUAGAUAGGCAGAAUAAACUUUUAAGCUAGAGUUUGGUAGAGGCAGAAGGAAUUCCCGGUGGAGCGGUGAAAUGCGUAGAUAUCGGGAGGAACACCAAAGGCGAAGGCACUCUGCUGGGCCAAUACUAACACUGAGAGACGAAAGCGAGGGGAGCAAAUGGGAUUAGAUACCCCGGUAGUCC